GGUGAUGACAAACAUGGAGGCGGAGAGAGAAAGGGUGUUGGCGAUCAAGAAAACACAGUAGUCUCCAGGCUGGGAUGCAUAAAUGGCUCUGCCUGCACGAACUCCAUCUUGCCAUACUCCGCCAGGAGGGUUGACACCAGCUUGGAAGGUAACGGAAGCUAUGAGGGUUGCUACUAUUAACAUAAUGUUUCGAACAUCGCCAGGCUUGUCUUCUUUUUCUUUAUACCGGAAAUUCUUGUACCAGCUCUCGCCUGUGCUUAAUCGCGUUAGCACCUUUUUGACGAGAGACAUUGAAAUCCGGUGAGAAGAAGACUGAAUUUUUGUUGGUCAGUUUUCUUUUUCUGUUCAUCAAAUUUCGUCAGUGGCGUAUAUAUAGGACUAUCAUGCGUCACCUUUAUGACGAUUGCAUAGAUGAUGUGGUCUAUUGUAAAUCCUUACAUUUAUGCCAAUGAGCCCAUUAUGAAGCUCAUUGAGGAGGAUGCUCCUUAACUUAUAAUUUUUGUUUUACUUGUGGGUUUUAUUUUUUACAAAAAUUAUGAUUAAAAAAUUUAAACAAAAUAAUAUAUAUGCUCGAAUUAAAAUAUUUUCCGAUAGUUUCAUCAUCAUUAAAUAGUUUAUCUUAAAAAGUGUCGAUUGAGUCUUAACUCGAUUGGCAUGGAUAUUGUUGCCAAUGCAGGAGGACAUGAGUUUGAGUAUGCUGAAACGUAUUAUCGUUCUAUUUAUGAGUUAGGAAGGGACUAUGGACAGCUUUAAGUAUUGUGUCAAAAAUAACAGAUAUUAUCAGAACCUAUACUGAAAUUGUUCAAAAUCUUCCACCACAUGAAUUUGAUUAAUAUUCUACCUCAUGUCGAAAAUUUAUUGUGGCAAAUGGCGACAAUAAGACUAUGCUACAUAGAAAUACUUGCCAAAACGGAAAAUUCAAAUUGCUUUAGUACGUAUAUAUAGAUUAUUUUUAGAUUUAUUUUGAUAAAAUGAAUUUUGUUUAUGGUUACUGAAUAUUAUUUGACAAAAUUUUAAAGGCGGCUUUGAAGGCUGAAUGGAGAGGAUUGCAACUCGCGAUGUUGAAGGCGUUUGACAGUCGAAAGCAAUUUGUGGCUGCGUGAGCUAAGGUUGUGGAGGAAUAUUACAAGUCUGAAGAAAAGUAGAUGUUUUUAUGUUCAGAAAUGUUUUAAGUUUUGUGAUUAUUAGACAAUUGUUUAAUCAUGGGGGUUAUGUUUGGGAUAAUAUUGCAUGGACAGUGACUUUUUGUUGGUCUGUUAAGCAUGUUUAGUUGUUUCAUCUUUUAUGUUUCUAUUUAUGAAUGUCUGAUCUAAUUUGUCUUAAGAUUACCUACUUG
rnacentral:lncRNA from 1 species